rnacentral:rRNA from 1 species
CAACGCCGCGUGAGUGAUGAAGGCUUUCGGGUCGUAAAGCUCUGUCAUGGGGAAAGAAGUGUAUUGUGGUUAAUACCCAUGAUACUUGACGGUACCCCUGAAGGAAGCACCGGCUAACUCCGUGCCAGCAGCCGCGGUAAUA